rnacentral:rRNA from 1 species
UACAGAGGUCCCAAAGCGUUGUUCGGAUUCACUGGGCGUAAAGGGUGCGUAGGCGGUCGGGUAAGUCUGAUGUGAAAUCUCACAGCUUAACUGUGAAACUGCAUUGGAUACUAUUCGGGCUUGAAGAGUUGGAAGGGGGACUGGAAUUCUUGGUGUAGCAGUGAAAUGCGUAGAUAUCAAGAGGAACACCAGUGGCGAAGGCGAGUCCCUGGACAACUUCUGACGCUGAGGCAACGAAAGCUAGGGGAGCAAACAGG